GACGAACGCUGGCGGCGUGCUUAACACAUGCAAGUCGAGCGGUAAGGCCCUUUCGGGGGUACACGAGCGGCGAACGGGUGAGUAACACGUGGGUGACCUGCCCUCAGCUCUGGGAUAAGCCUGGGAAACUGGGUCUAAUACCGGAUAUGACUUCACAUCGCAUGGUGUGUUGUGGAAAGUUUUUUCGGCUGGGGAUGGGCCCGCGGCCUAUCAGCUUGUUGGUGGGGUGAUGGCCACCAAGGCGACGACGGGUAGCCGGCCUGAGAGGGCGACCGGCCACACUGGGGACUGAGACACGGCCCAGACUCCUACGGGAGGCAGCAGUGGGGAAUAUUGCGCAAUGGGCGGAAGCCUGACGCAGCGACGCCGCGUGGGGAUGACGGCCU
rnacentral:rRNA from 1 species